AUGAAUGGAUUACCACUUACCCCAUCCAUAAAUCCCCAACCAUCAACUAGCACCUAAACUGCAUAUAUAUAUAUAUAUACACACACAUAAAUAAAGAGACCCUUGACUCCAUCUCAAUGCAAACAUACUAGAAGAAUCCUCUUGUGCAUUCCGAAACUGCCAUAUUGCCGCCAAAACCGCAACCAUCUAGCCCUAUGGUAGGUUAACAUCCCCACUCUAAAAGACACAUGCCUGGUCACUCUUUCCUCCAAACACAAAAAACUGGGACGGCAUAAACACCACCAUACAAAUAUUGACAUUCCAAUCCAUCUGCCAAUCUCUCAGCCUCCGGCUAUAUCCUCAAGAUGACGACGGAAACCACUUCCUUCUUGAGUCUUGCGACUUGACUAGAACUACUUCUUAUAAGGACGUAGGUACCUCAAAAUCAAGUAACUCACGUAGGUGUGCACCAUUCAAACCCAAACAGACAAGGCCACUAAGGCCAAAACAAUCAGCAAACCCAUCAUCCACCUAAACAACCAAACUAAAAGAUCGACAUAUACAGGAACACUGUUACGAGUAAUGGUAUCAAACCGUGUCAUCUACCCUAAACUAGCACCUUAGAAUCAUUAUGAACUUCCUUGAUGCGAGUACGGAUCCUGUGCUUCUAGUAGUACGGGCCCAAUACUACCUUCCACACCUAACCAUACUUUCCUUAGGAAUCAUCAUAAGUCCUUUAAGUCACCUACUCACGAUAAUACUCCCAAUGCCAGCUAACGAGCGUAGCUCCCUUACUAAAGCACUUCUUAGGCUCUCCUAGGAUCCCCACCUCACUGUGCCAUCAGCUGCUGAAAAACCGCUAUUGACGUCAACUAACUACUUAAUGAAUACAAUUACAUUCAAUAAAACUUAACUAAUCUUUCGACUAAAAGACCUAACCCUACAAUGGUAAUUUAUCAUGGUUACACCCAACAAAAUGAGCAAAAUAAACCACCUCAUCCCACCUAAAUUCAACACCAAAGAUGUUUGAUUUUUUUAAGCUUAUCAUCAAUCCAGAAACAAGAUAAAGCAUUGAAGAAUAGUCACCAUAUUAAUCAUGUUGCUUCUAUCCUAAUCACCACGAAUAAUAACGUUGUCUGCGAAAAAAAUGAUAAAUAUUAAAAUCAUUUGAAUCAAUAUUGACCCCUUUAAACAAUCCUUCUCCAGUGGCAUCUUGAAUAGCAACAUGUAAUCCUUAAAUAACUUCAAUAAAGAGAAAAUGAGAGGGUGGAUCACCUUGCCUAAGACUUCUUUGAAGAGGAAAUUCGUCAGAAGGACUUCCAUUAAGAAGAACUAAAGCUCACACAGAAAUCAAACAUGCAUGAAUCCAAGAACGCCAUUUUUAUACCAAAAUUCAAAAACUCCAUGAUCCUCACUAAAUAAUCCCAGCUAACAAAAUCAUGAGCUUUAGCAAAAUCAAUUUUUAAGUUCUGCAUUUUUUUCUUUUUCUUCUUAUACCACUCAAGAAUUUCAUUUACCAUUAAAGGCCCAUCGAAAAACUGUUUAUCUUUGAUAAAUGUAGUUUGCUCAAUACUAAGAAAAUCUCCAAUUACCAUGGAAAAAAUAAUAGCAAGGACUUUUGCAACAAUUUUGUAUUGAAUACCAAUGAGAUUGAUCUGACAGAAAUCACGUUGGGGUCAACGUGAUGAAAGUGGAAUUACAAACCGAAGGGAUUCUCAAUUUGUGAAAAACAUCCUUCACAAAGUCAUGAAUAUCAUCCUUAAGAAUCUCCUAAUACUUUUUUACAAACGCAAAGUUAAAAGCAUCUGGUCCCAAAGCUUGAUGACUACUAUAAUCCUAUACAAUUUGUUUAAACUCUCCAACAAUAACCAAUUUCUCAAGCUCAAUCGAUGAGGACAAAGAAACCUCUCUAAAUUAAGGGCUUCUAUAAGCAGCCGAGACAACCUCAAUCUUUUUGAAUAUAUGAAAAUAUUGUUCAAAAAAUUCCAUUUUAACACGAUGUGGUCCUGUAAUCCACUCACCAUCCACUUUACCACCCUUUAUAGAGAGUUGUGUUCUUUCAUUAUUAAGAACAACAUGCUAAAAUUUAGAAUUUUCAUUCCAUUCUAUGGCCCAUUUAAUUUUCGCCUAUUGAGAGAUAUCUAGCAUUUCGUUUUCUCAAAAGAUAAUAAAUUGGCCCUAACUUUACUUCUUUCUUCCAACACCAAAGUUGAUCCACCACCAAAAUCAAUGAUUUUAUCUAGUUCCUGUAAUCGGUUGAAAGGAGCAAUUUUAGACCUUAUAAUAGCACCAUCCACAUUUUCCACUUCUGCAUUGAAACAAUUUGGAGUAACCAACAAAUCAAAACCAAGAAAAAUAAUAUUUAUUUAUCAAUAAUAACCACACACAUUUUUUGAUUACCGAUUGCAUAUUUUCACUUAUAUUGUUCACCCCAUAACCCAGUCUACUUCCAACUUCAUUACACCUUGAGAUUUCCUCCACCACAUUCUCAUCAUUACCUAAAAAAAAUUGUGAUUAAUUUUCAUUGACCUAUUUUUAUUUUUUGAAAUCUAUGUAGCUUAGAAGGAUCAUGUAUUUGACCCCUUAACCCAUCUGAUGUGCAUUUUUUUCGAAACCAGGAGCUCUAGAAGAAGUGGUACAAUCAUCAGAAAGAUAGUUAGACAUAUUCUUGAUGUGAAGUUAUAACCUGAUCAGUAGCUAAAUUUUCAUUAGCAUUCACAUCACCCGAUAGCAUACUUUUGCGAGAUACAAACAUCUGUUCUUCUGGAAUGACAUUCUCAUUUACUUCUUCUCCAAUUCUGUUGAUUUUCCCAUCCCUAACUAACUUAAUUUUCUCCACUAGAAGCUCCUUGUUAAUGUUUUAUUUUCCCAUUUGAAUUGCCUUAUCGUCCAUAUUUGGUCCCUCUUCAUCCCAUGCAACUUCAAAAUAUCGUUCUUUCUCAAACAUAGAUUCUAAUUGCAAUUCAUCAUCAUCUUCUAUGUGAUCCUCAUUAUCAUAAUCUUCAAUCGUAGGAAUCCAAGUUGAGAUUUCGAACACUGAAAACAUAAACUUAUUCCUUUCAAUAUCUAAUUGAAACUUUCCAUCUUUUUUUAUCCAUAUUUUUAGUUCUAAUACAAACUCUACCAAAACCCGUUGUCCCAUCUUUGAGUUCAUCAACAAACAGAGGAUUUCCCCACAGAGAAGCAACCUAUUUUAAAAGCAGAACCUGCCCAUCCAUACAACUGUGACAACCCGAAAUUUCUAUCUUGUACAACCAUUCAAUUCAAUCAAAGCCAGACUUGUUUCUGCUAUCUUUUAGCAUUGUUUAGGGUCUAUUUGAGUGUUCUAAGCCUAGUACAUUCACGGAUUGGGUGUUAGGAAGCAUCUGCAAGAGUUCAUUAUGCAGCAUAUAAGUCAGAAAACUCCAACACUAGGAGUUUACGGACGUAAACUAGAGCCUACGGCCAUAAGCUCUUGGCUGGCCGUGAACUCCUUCCAUAAGGAUGAUAUCCCUUCAUUUUCAUCAUUUCUCACAAUUCCAAGUCAAGAACACUGAUUUCUCUCUCAUGUAUCAUCACGAACACUUCUAAUUCUCGACAAAUUUGUUAGUGUUUCUUCCAUUUAUUAGUUGAUACCUUUCUUAAUCUAGUAAAACCUUAUGAUUUCAUUCGUGAAAUCAUCUCUUUUUGGGUUAGAUCUUCAAGAACACCAAGAACACCAAGAACUCACACUAGUUCUUUGGGAUGUGAACACCUCUUCAAGCUUCAAAACGUAAGUAUUCUUUCCAUAUACUAUUUAUCCAUUAGAAGCUCUUGAAAUACACCCUUGAAACAACCAUUUCAUCAAGAACAUCAAGAGUUUACAGCCAUAACUUCUCCCUUGGCCGUAAAACCUUCUCAAGAACACCAUGGCCAUGAACACACCUAGGCCGUAGACACACACUUGUGUGGCCGUAAACACCUUUAGAACAAUCAUAUGUCAUUGUAACACUUCAUUCGAAGUGUUUCCUAAUCCCUAAGGUGGUUCCCUAACAUGAUUAGUUGUUAUAUACACUAAUUAUAUACAUAUAUGUGUCAUUAUAUGCUUAAUAGGAUUCGUUUGUGCUCGAGACUUCACUUGACACUUAGCAUCCUAUAUGGAUCUUACAUCUGAACCACUCACUACAGGUGAGUUCAUACCCCUAACUUAUCUUUUAAAUGAUUUUAAAUGCUUUUAUGGGGGGGGGGGGGGAAUACAAGUAGAAAACAUUAUAGUUACUGUAUCAAUCACAUGUGAUAAAUAACUAUCAAAAAAGUGGAUUUCUUAUACUUCAAACAUUCUUAUCAAACAAACUAUUUCAAAACAUUUUAUAAACUGACAUCAAGUAAUCUAUAACCAUUCAAAUGGUUAAAACUCUUUUAUAUGAUAAACUCUUUAUCAAACUCUUUUAAACUUAUAUAUUGUCAAAAUCAUGUGUAUAUAGAUAUAGUUAUAUAAAUAAGGUCAAAAGGGAUUAGGAAUGAUAACUCGCUUUCUUUCAUAUUCCUUGUUUGGUUGUGGACUUAGGGUAUCGGUUGUUUGCUCGAGUGUCGUUUGAAUCUUAGUUAUAUAUUAUGUAUAUGUGUAUAGAUAUAAAAGUUCUCAUAUCAAUUCAACACCUUUGGGUAGCAAAGAUGUACAAACAUACUCAGUCAUUCAAACAACAGUACUAUUAAACUAUAAUAUGUAUAGUUUAGAAGACUACUACUCACUAUUUCUAGUACAAUGAAACAUACAAGAGUCAGUUCACACAUGAGUUAGUUCAAACAUACUAUAACGAGAAACAGAAAGAACAUACUAUAACGAGAAACAGAAAGAACAUACUAUAAUGAGAAACGGGGAGGAACAUAUUAUACAAAGAGAACAUACAACACAAUAGAACAGAUAGAACAUACUAUACAAAUACAAGAAUAGUAUAACAUUAAUGUGAGCCACUACUUCAUGGAAUGGCAAUAUACUGCUGUGUCACAUUUUGUAACCAGAGUCUCCUAAAGGGAGAGCAUUAACUUGUGUUGGGAUUAUAAUGUUGCGUCUUGGGCUCGUUCCUAUUAGCCCAGUUUUUAGCCGGUUUGGGCCUGUCCAACCGUGCAUUAUUUUAUUCUAGUUUUUAGUAUUUAAGGUGCAUGCAUGCAUCCUUAGUAGGUAACACUUUUAUUAUUUUAUUAUCAAAGUAUUGUAAACCGUGGCAUGCCUCUACAGUGGAUGUUCUUUAUCGAGCUCUGCUGAGGCAUGACUACAUUUGAAUCAUAAGCUUCAUAUUGAUUUCAUAUUGUGUUCAUAAUCAUAUUGUGAUUGAAUUGUUUGUUCUUUAUCAACAUACCUAUGAAAGAUCUAAACGAUCAAGAGAUUUAUUCUCAACAAUUGGUAUCAGAGCUGGAGGCUGUGUAAUUCAUACACAUCUCUUCUGUUGAAGAAAUUAUUUGGGUCUUUCCGUAUUGAUUGAUAUUAAUUGAGCCAUCAUUCCAAAUUGGCGUAUAUCAUUAAUUUUCGAUCUUGCCCUAACAAUAAGUAACAAGUCUAAUCUUAAACAGGUUAUCGAUCAAACGUCAAAAUGUCUAUGGACGAUUCUCAAUCCAAUCCAAUCAACAUCUCCAACAGUAUUGGAUCAACAACAAGAAUUCCAAUCUUAUACACUCUGGAUUAUGAAGUAUGGACGCAUCACUUCAAAGAUUAUGUAAUCGGCUCAGAGGAUAAUGGGUACUUGAUCUGGGAAGAAAUCAUAUUUGGUCCGUUUGCUCAUUCAAGCACUUCAAAGAUUGUCAAAACUCAAAAGGAGUACAAUCAACUCGUUAAUGAUGUCAAAGACAUUCCUCAAGACGUGAAAGAGAAGGUUCAGUGCAACAUCAAAGCCUUAAGAAUGAUUAGGUUUGCUUUACAAUCGGACACGUUUCGAUUGGUGAGUUCAUGUACUACAGCAAAAGAGAUAUGGGAUAGGUUAAAAGAAUUGUAUUCUACUGAUGAAGAUCUGGAACAUUCGAUUCAAACCUUGCUGCUUUCUAAAUUUGGUGAUUUCAAACAGAAGCAUGAAGAGAAACAUAUCCAGGCCUUUGAUCGGUUUAAUCAUCUUCUCAGUAAGAUGAUAAAGCACGGGAUCGAAAGGAAUGUUAUUGAGCAGAAGGUUACCUUCAUGAACGGUCUUAGACCCGAAUGGAUGGCAGUUAUGUCCACAGUGAAGGCACACAAACAGUUCAAAUCAUACUCUCUGACGAAACUGGUGGGAAUUCUGAAGUCCCAUGAAAGUGCGGUGUCAAAGGAAACGAACGUGGUAUCUAGUUUGGGGUUGUUAGCUCUUAUUUCAAAAGGAAAAGGUGUUGUCGAAGAAGAAAAAGAAGAAUUGAAUCUUGUUGACUACGAUCUAACUGGUGAAGAGUAUGUCGUGAUGGUUUCCAAUCCAAGAAAUUUUAUCAAAAGAAAAUUCCCAGCCAACAAGAAUCGAAACUGACAGGGAAGUUAUAGUUCCGAAGAAGUGAAGGAGGAACCGAAGACGGGUUCAAAGUCAGAAGAAUACAAGAAGAAGUCAAAUAUUGGUGGUGACUCAGGUUUUGAUUGCCAUUAUUGUGGAGGCAAGAAUCACUUUGCCAAAGACUGCAUGCAGAAGAAAAAGGUUGAAAAGGUUGAUGAAGAUGAUGAGGACGCAAACCUCCAGAGACGAUUGGAGGAGAUCAAGAAAAGGAAAUCUGCAGCAAACAAUAACACCAUGAAUGCUUUGAUUAUACAGGAUACAGGUGACAAUGAUGAAUUUGGUGGAGUGCAGGUGUGGUCCACAGAUUCAGAGGACGAAGAAGUGAGAAAGCCGACUCAUGGCAAGGCUAUGCUGGGGAAAGAAGAAAAUGUUGCAGGAAGACGUUUGAUGGUGACAGAAGGAGUAUCACAGAUGCGAGGAUACACAACAGAUGGUGGGCUAGAAGAUGAGAAGGAGCGAGAGCACAUGUAUUUCGCUGCAAAACCUAUUAGUGCAUAGAUCAACGAAUGUGAUGAGUUGAUCAAGAAGGUACAAAAUAUUCUUACUUCUCUGUAAAUUCCUCUUACUAACUAUGAAAAGGAACUGAAUAGCUUAAAAUCAAAAUUUUCUAGUUUAAGUAUUAGUAUUACCCAAACUUCUGUCACAAACUCUAACCUGGCUGAUCAAAUUAGCAGAAUAUCAUCGAAGAGUGAGGAGAGGAGGAUCUGGAUUGAGUAGAAGGUGAAAGAAUUAAUUAGGUCCAGGGAUGAGUCAAUAUAUUUGCAACGAGACAAUCUUAAGCUUUUGAAACAACGAAACGUUUUUUGUUUGAUUGCGAAAAGACUAUAUUUUAACAUCACUCAGUUACAUCUUGAUUGUGAAAUAGGAAAGAAGAUACAUCGCAUGAUUUUACCCUUCUUUGAGUUAAAGGAGGAUGAAGUCGAUGCCGAAGCUUACAACUGUGAAAAUAAUGUAUCUUCUGACGAAAUCUCUCCUGCCUACAAAAUUGGUCUUGACAAAAUAUAGUCCUACAUAAAGUCAAAAGAGCAUAAGGACAUGCUCAAAAAUUUGUUAGAUGAAAAUGAUAAAUUGAAACUAAGAACCGAAACUGUACAUAAAUUUGACUCGUUGAAUGCCAAAUUAAGUUCAGAAAAUAAAAUUGAUGUUGAAAAUGCAUCUGAACUUAAUGAGGACGAUGACAUGAGUGAAAUCUCUGUAGAGGACGUGGUGGACUAUUCUGAAUUUGUCAAAGCGAACCCGAAACUAAUAAAAAUAUGAUCUCUGAAAACUCCGUUGAGUUCGCUCGCUCAUCGACAGACAAAACCAAAAUCCUCAAGGAAAAAGUUGUUGUAUAUCAAAAGGUUCAAACCACUCCAAAUCAAGUCUACAUAGUUCAGGGGGUCACAUCUCAACAAAAAGCAAAACUAACAGCAAUGAUAGAAGAAGAUAACGCAAAUGGAUGUGAGGAGUUCUUCUGGUGAGCACCAAUAGAUAACGCUGAUGAAACAAAAGGCUUAUCUCAGAAAACCUCAUUGAGAGUGAUGGGUAGGUAUGUGUUGGAACCACUUAAUGAACCUACAAAAUAUGAUGUACCAAGCAAAAGUGGUACCAAAACAUCUUUGGGCGAACCAGUGAUAACGUCCAGUGAGACGUGUUCGUCAAAGAGCGAAAGCCAUGCUCAAGUACCGAAGAAAAAGGAAAAUAUUCAUAAAAAUCGAAAACAGGUGGCAGAACGAAAACACAAAUGUAAUCUGAGAUACAAGAAAAAUCUCUCAGAAAGAAAACAGUUUUGGCGAUCUCAGAAUCCCCAUUACGUAAGGUAUGAAAAGACACAUAAGUCAAGAGGAGAAGCAAGAAGCAACCGAAAGGAAGGUUUCGGUCCUCGGCAUGAAAGUAACCGACAGGAAGGUUUUGGUCCUUCGCAUGAAAGCAACCGAAAGGAGCAUUUCGGUCCUCAGCAGGUAAGAAACCGAAAGAAACGUUUCGGUCCUCAAUAUAAUAGAAGUCGAAUGGAUGGGUUCAGUACCAGGUUCAAUCAGAAGAACCGAAGGGAAGAAUUUUUUCCCUCUCAACCACGGAAGAGCAAUAAUCGACGAUCUAAUAUUGCUUCUAAACCUUAUUCUUCUCAUUCUCAUUCAAAUUCUUAUCCUUCAAAAGAUUCAAAGGGGAAAGGAAAUCUCUUUCCAGAAGACAACAGAUGCCCAAAAGAAAUCCAAAAGCAUGCAGAAGUUAAAAUUUCAAAUCCUACGUCUAAAUCAAAUGAAUCUAAGUCAAACAAAAUCAAUGUUUUUACAAUAAAAAGAAAAGAUGAAACAAAUCUAAUAAAAUGAAUUUAUAUGGUUGAUGUUUCUCUUACUAUUUCCUGUCCUGUAAAAAGGCUCACAAGGACCAAAGAAAUUUUGGGUUCCUAAAUCUGCUUGAUAUUUUGUAGGUUAUACGUGACGAGCAGUUUGAAGAAGAAUGGUACAUUGAUAGUUGCUGCUCGCGUCACAUGACAGGAUGAAGGGAAGAACUGAGGGAGAUUUGGUCUCUCAAGGAUGGUGGAACAGUGAAGUACGGCAACAAUUCGUUUGGAACUAUCAAAGGCUAUGGAAUGAUUACGAAUGGUGAUUUCUCAAUCAGAAAGGUCGCAUACGUUGAAGGAUUGCAAGACAACCUCAUAAGUGUAUCACAGUUAGUAGUUGGGACCGGAUUGAAGGUAUCCUUUGAUGAAGAAGGCUCAGAGAUUUUCCAAAAGAAGUCAAAUAAUAUUUUGUUGAAGUCAAAGCGAAAGGGGGAAUAUACCCUUUAAAUCUCAAUCCAAUUCAAGGGAAACCGACAGUUUGCUUGCUAACGAAGGCACACUCAUACGAAAGCUGGUUAUGGCAUCGAAGGCUCUCUCAUCUCAAUUUCAAAGAGAUCAACAAGCUGGUACUGGGAGAUCACGUUCGUGGUCUUCCAUUUCUCAAAUUCGACAAAGAACAUAUAUGUGCAGCUUAUGAAAUGGGAAAGCAAGGUCGACAAAGUCAUCCUUCUAUUAUCAACACAAAGGUGAUAGAACCAUUGGAGUUGUUAUAUAUUGAUCUAUGUGGUCUCUCCUCUAUUGAAAGCAUUGGUGGGAACAAGUACAUUCUUGUCAUAGUUGACGACUUCUCUCGCUUCACAUGGGUAUUUUUCUUGAAGCAAAAAUUAGAGGUAACUCCUAAGCUCAAGCUCUUUAUAAAGCAAGUAGAUGUUCAACUGUGAAAAGUGGUUCGUGACGUAAGAAGCGAAAAUGGCUUCGAAUUCAAGAACAAGGACUUUAAAUAUUUUCUGGCUGAGAAGGGAACAUCUCACAAUUUCUCUACUCCAUAUACUCCACAGCAGAAUGGAAUCAUCGAAAGGCGAAACCGAUCUCUCUGCGAAGUGGCUCAAACUAUGCUAAGCUUCGCUUCCUUGCCUUUAUAUUUCUGGGCUGAUGCUAUCGCUGUUGCAUGUUACACUCAGAAUAGAUCGUAUCUAAACAAGCGAUUCUCUAUCACUCCUUAAGAGAUCUUGAACAACCGCAAGCCUAAUGUGAAGUUCUUUCACGCGUUCGGUUCAAGAUGCUUCGUCUUCAACUCAAAGGAGAAUCGAAACAAGUUUGAUGCUAAGGCCGAUGAAGGGAUCUUUUUGGGCUACUCCUUGCACUCUAAGGCGUAUAGAGUUCUAAAUAAACGCUCAAAGAAGAUUGAAGAGACAUAUUAUGUCACUUUUGAUGACAGUUAUGUCAAGAAGUUGAAGACACCUGAAGGUGCAAUUCAGGAAAUCUUUCCAAAGUCUAGUCAAGUCACUGUGCCUAUCUUAAAUCUUUUUGAGCAAUAUAUGCUUCUCUUUGAUGAACCUGAAAAAGCUGUCGACUCUGAAUCCAAGGCUGAAGAUAACAAAGUCGACAGUUUGAAGCAAAAUAUUGAUGAUGUUGUACAAAAGAUGGCAGCUGAACAACCAAAGGCAAGUGAAAGGUCUGACUUAAGUGAACCUUUUGGUGACUGUUCUUCUAUCCAGGGGGGUUCCUAUCUACCAAAUGAUCAAGAUUCAUCAAUUCAGGGGGAGAAUUCAUUGCCGCAAUCAUCUAGCUCAACCGAAAGUCCAAACGAAGGGGAACGUUCUGAGCCAUAAAUUGAAAUAGUGUCAUCAUUCGAGGGGGAGAAUACAAAUGUCAAUGAUGAUGAUACACAAUUAGAAUUGGAAGAAGAAGUCAAUGUAGAACUGGAUCUCUCUUGUGAUGCAAAUUACCCUCCUCUCAUUAAAUGGACCAAAUACCAUCCUCAAAGGCAAAUCAUUGGGGAAUCUUCAGAAAAGGUAUUAAGUCGAUGACAGAUCAAAGUGAAACAAGUUGCACUAUUCUCUCAAGUAGAAUUUUGCAUGUUCAACUCUUUUGUCUCCAAAGUUGAACCGAAGACCGUGAAUUCAGCUGUUGACCAUUCUGAUUGAGUUCAAGCCAUGCAAGAUGAGCUGAACCAGUUUGAAAGAAACAAAGUAUGGUAUCUAAUUCCAAGUCCAAAGGAUGCUUCGGUUUUCGGUCUUAAAUGGGUAUUCAGAAAUAAGAUGGAUAAGGAGGGGAAUGUGAUUCGUAACAAGGCCCGGUUGGUUGUAAACGGAUACUACCAAGAGGAAGGUAUAGAUUAUGAAGAGACCUUCGCUCCAGUUGCAAGAUUAGAGUCGGUUCGAAUCUUUCUUGCUUAUGUUGCACACAAAAACUUUGAAGUCUAUCAAAUGGACGUAAAGUGUUUCUUUCUCAACGGAGAACUUGAAGAAACUGUGUACGUUGAGCAACUGCCAGGCUUCGUGAACGAGAAGCAUCCAGAUCAUUGUUAUAUUCUAGAAAAGCAGUAUAUGGCCUGAAGUAGGCUCCCCAGAGCAUGGUAUGAAACUCUUACUCGCUUCUUAAAAAUAUCCAAAUUUAAACAAUGUUCGGUUGACCCAACCUUCUUUCGUAAGAGAGAGGGUAACCAUCUUAUGAUAGUCCAAAUUUAUGUUGAUCAAAUCAUCUUCGGCUCCAUGAAUCCCAGCUUAACAGUUGAAUUUAGGAAGUUGAUGGAAACUAAAUUUGAGAUGAGCUCAAUGCGUCCAAUUAACUUUUUCCUUGGCUUAAAUAUUAGACAGGGACCCGAAGGCAUUUUUAUCAAUCAGGAGGCAUAUACAAAGACAUUGUUUCUAAUUUUGGCAUGAUGGGAGACUCCAAAGUGAAAGUCCCUAUGGCUUUUGGGACUAAGCUUACACCAUCUUUGGAAAAGCCAACUGCUGACAUGAUGCUUUAUCAUCAGAUGAUUGGGUCACUGAUGUAUCUCACAACCAGCAGGCCCAACAUCAUGUUCUCAGUCUACUAUUGUGCCCGAUUCCAAGCUAACCCACACGAACCUCACAUGCUAGCCAUGAAAACCAUCUUUCGUUAUCUGAAGCGAACUUCCUCUAUCGGUCUAUGGUAUCUAGCCAACUCAGGUUUCAUUGUCCAAGCAUUCUCAAAUGCUGACUUAGGUGGUUGUGGCUUGGAUCGUAAAAGCACUACUGGAGGAUGCCAAUUUCUUGAUGGUAAAUUCGUUAGCUGGCAAUCAAAGAAACAAACCUGUGUUUCUCUGUCCACGGCUGAAGUUGCAUACAUAGCCGCUUCUUCAUGCACAUCUCAAGUUGUUUGGAUACAAAGUCAACUUAGGGACUCUGGGCUGAAUGUGAAGAAAAUCCCACUAUAUUGCAACUCUGAAAGUGCAAUUAGGAUUUGUCAUAACCCAGUGCAACACUCGAAGAUAAAGCACAUAGCAUUGUGGUAUCACUUCAUCAAAGAUCAUGUGGAAGAUGGUAACGUAGAAAUUCAUUUCGUUAGAACCACUGAUCAACUAGCAGAUAUAUUCACUAAGGCUUUACCUGAAGCAAGUCUCAACAAGAUCUUACAAGGCCUAGGAAUGACGGAAGCAGAAUCAGUACCAAAAUCGCCUUCGCUUCACUAAAGGUAAGAAGCGAAAUAGAGCGAACGCUCAGUCUAUUUUGGGUUCGGUUCACCCGAGAACCGAAAUGAACCGAACGCUCGAUCUAUUUCAGGUUCGGUCCUUCUGAACUCAUUCGUUUUUUUUAUUAUUAAAAGGGAUUUUGAUUGUAUUCUUUUGUAUACCCUUUUCCGUACUCAUUUUUAUGUUUUCCUUUUCAUUUUUUUUAUUCUUUUCAUAAAAUCCAAAAAUAUUUUUCUUUUUUGUUUUAUUAAAAAUUUUCUACAAAAUACAAAAAUAUAUUUCCUUUUAUUUCAUUUCUCUCAUGCUUUUCUUUGUAUAAAUGCUAUUCUUGAUGGUGAAGCUCAAGCAGGUACAAAUUCUUUUCUACGAAUUAGUUAAGUGUCCCUAAAUGCAUGUUGACCAAAGCCUCUACAGAUUUUGAGUGAAGCCUUAAUAAUGUGAUAUAUACAAAUUAUGUUUUCCCAAACUAGGCUGUUACAUUCACUCUAAUCAUGAGCUACCUCACUCUUCUCAUAUUGAGUUAAGAGUUUUCUGCUUGGUCCUUCUUAUAUAGCAGAGGUACAUUCACUUGUUACACCACCUAUAUCAUUUUUCUCCAUUACACUUCAUCUCACUAAUGUAACCCUUGAGACUCUCCGCACUUACCACUGAGGUUUAUGGUUACACAAAAUUAUGUGCUAAUGAUCUUAGCUCCGUGUCACUACGUACUAAGUGAAACCCAUAAUUCAAAAGCCUUAAUGCAUUGACGGUGAAGCAUUACCAUGAUCUCGCUCUCACAAAUGAAAUCUCCUAUUAUUUUCAGCAAUCCUUCUGAAAAUGUCUAUCACCAAGAAUUUUCUUCCCCAAGGAUCCAGUUAUAUUUUUUUUAGAUUUCUUAGUUUCAACACGUUACUAAAUACAUAUCAAACCUACUUGUUCAAUAGGCCACAUAGGUCUCACAAGUACUUCAUUCUCUUUUGGUCUUAUAUUAAGUACCGAAACUUGAAUUUAAGCGAAAGCCACCCUUACAAGCCUUAUACCUAAAAGAUGACUUUCAUUGCCUCUUAACAGGCACUUGACUAUAUUCUAACAGGAAACCACCCAGAUACUUUGAAGUCUCUCUUGACUUGAAAGGAAGAGAUUCGUGCCCGGGAUCUACUGUUUCACAAUAUCCCACAAACUUCGAUUUAUUUCUUUAUCAUUCACACUCUAUGCACGAAAAUCUUUGAUUUUACAAAAGUCUGGUUCUUUAGUCUUCAAGUGAUUCAUAUUAUGAAUAUGACCCCAUUAGCUAUAAACGACCUUCUCCUACUGCAUCUGGGAGCGAACGCUCUGACGAGGAGGUUUUGGUUCAUGGUGACACCCCUCCUCGCUCACCGACUCCAUAGGUACCUGUUCGAUCACCUUCUCCUCGAACUGCUUCUAUUCCUAUUUCCCUAGCCACAACUUUCCUAGUUAUCACAUCCCAACCUACAUUUACCAUUCCAAUUCCCACUCCUAUCUUCACUGAAGCAACCACAACAACCACCACUGGAGUUCAAACCAACGUACCUGAUAUGGGGGUUCGGUCUUCAAUACCAGAAACAACCAAACCAUUAUCCCCCACACCUUCAACCAAAACCAACACUGUUCUUGGAGGUGAGGAAUUGGAGUUUGAUUCAACUUACUUUAGUCCUUAUCGUGUUCAGAGCGAUGACGAUAAUGAUGCUCCUAUCACCAAGCGACAUCUCAAGGUUGUGACCGAUAAGCUUGAUCAGCUGCUUUCCUCUUCCUCUGCCAAUCCUUACUCAGAAGCUGCUCUCAAGCCUCUCUUCUCUUCUACAGUCAAGGAGCAUGCCACAUCUAUCUCCAAUGCAGCGAAGGCUAUUGAUGCCUCCACUUCUCAAUGUCAAAAGGCUUUGCUUGCAGUGGAAGCAUCUACUAAGGACAGCAAGGAAGCGACCACAAUAGUCGAAAAACUAAUCUCAGAAGCUCAAAUCUUUCUAGACUCCCUUCAAGCUGCUGCACAGAAAAAUGCAAACACCGUGACUGCUUCGGUUGAUUCUCUUAAACGCUCUCUGGAGGCUGAACUCUCCAACCUUGGUGUGGUUCGUACUGCUAUUGAAGCAGCUAACACAGAGCUUCCUACCAAAGUUGAUGAACGAUUAACUACUCUUGAGGCAAAGCUAGCAGUUGAAAACAAAAUUAUGGAUGAGUUGGACAAGCAAACCUCUCAGCUCAAACUUUAGAACCUAAUGCUCUGUACUGCAACUCACGAGCUCAAUGAUCUUAAAUCUGAAAGAGAAGUUAUUCGCAGUUCUAUUGGUGAUGUCCAUUCAAUCCUGCUUCAUCUUCUGGAUGCUCAUGACUCAAUCUUAAUUAUCUCCAUUCGCCGACACUUGGCUAAGAAACUACGUCCAACCUUGGAUAUUCUCAGUCGCAUUGAAGGUGGGGGAGAAAAGAAAUCCCAAGGAGGUAAUCUUGACAAAACACAACCUCCACCUCCUCCAGAACCAAAAGUUAUUGUUGGACCGAAGGAUAAUGAAGCUUCGGCCAGUACAAGUCAAAAGAAAAAGAAGAUCAUUGGCAAAGAUGAUGAAGAUGAAGAUGAUGACAUUGAUGAUAUAGUUACAGGAGCUUCUUCCAAGCCUGAUCCAAAAUACAAGCCUUCUGAGUAAGAGCUUCGGGAGAAGAUGGAUCGAUUGGAGAAGGAAAUAAAAGAGAAGGAACUUCUUCAUAAAAAGAAGUUAAUGUCUCCCGAGUGGACUAUGGAAUCACUCCAGAGAGAAGUCAUUGAUGAACCGAGCACUCAUUGGCUUGAACCGGUUUUAUCGUUCAGUGUUGAGAACUCGAAGGAUGCUUAGUUUGACAUGCCGAUCAACCGAAAGGCGUUCAUCUUUCAUUGCUUUGCCUCUACUACUGUUGUUCCUUCUCUAGACCCAAAGGUUGAUCGAGAUAUGUUGGAGUUUUAUCUAGAAUUUUCUCAACCACAAUACCUUACCUAGAGCGUGAAGAAAAUCACAACGGUCAGGGUAUUAAAGCCCUCUUUAGCUGGGAAAUUCAUCAAUGUCAAAUUCAAAGUGACCCGAGGUUCAGAUGGCUCGGUCCAUACUAUUUCCCUAGCUGACUUUCUAAAUCUAAACCCACACGACUGGGUACUUCUCAAUAAUAUUCUGCUAUGCAACCCUCAAGAGUAUCAGCCGAUUAUUGAUCAUAUCAAGCGAAUGCUUGUUUGCUACAUUAUUGGAGUAGUAACAACGGAUCAAGAGAUUGCAGCUGCCAUUCAUAAGCAUACUACUGUCAAAGCAAUUGGUAGGGUUGGCAAUGUAAACACGAUGGUGAAAGGCAAGAUUGACACCAAGUUUCAUACUGUGAUGUUCGUUAGGGGCGAAGGUCAAAAAUGUCUGUUCGCUCUUAUUGACAAACACAUGUUCUCUACUACCUGCUUGGAGCAUAUUUCGGAGAUCAGCCAUAGGUGUAAUUAGAACAGUAACGCUUAAAAGAACUUGUUUACUGAUACUCUUCUUGCCAUUAUUCCUCGGUUAUUCAAGGUCGUAAAGCAAGUCAAGGUCACACAACCGAAUUGAAGGUCUCGCCCCAAUUGACGGAAAGGGGGAUAUUGUUGUGAUUAUAAUGUUGCGUCUUGGGCUCUUUCCUAUUAGCCCAGUUUUGUAGCCAGUUUGGGCCUGUCCAACCGUGUAUUAUUUUAUUCUAGGGUUUUAGUAUUUAAGGUGCAUGCAUGCAUCCUUAGUAGGUAACGCUUUUAUGAUUUUCUUAUCAAAGUAUUGUAAACCCUAGCUCGCCUCUAAAGUGGAAGUUCUUUAUCGUUCUCUGCUGAACCGUGACUACAUUUGAAUCAUAAGCUUCAUAUUGAUUCCAUAUUGUGUUUAUAAUCGUAUUGUGAUUGAAUUGUUUGUUCUUUAUCAAUAUACCUGUGAAAGAUCUAAACGAUCAAGAGAUUUAUUCUCGUCAAUUUUUGUAUAGAUCUAUACGGAAUUGACCAUCCUACACCUUGCUACUAGCUACAGUGGGACCUACAGGUCUAUGGGUGACGAAUGUCAUACCAUUUCGACAUCUUUGAUCAUCGUGUUUUACUAGUCAAUCAAGUAUUGUUAUAAUCUCAUCACAUUUUACCUUAAUUAAACAACUGGUUUAAGGUAGUUGGUACAACGGUAGUUACUAUAUACAAUACUGCAAUACAUCUUUAUUUUCCCAUCACAUUCACAUUGUGAUCUUCUCGCAUAAACGGUAAUGUAAACUAUAUUUUUGCUAAUGAUAGUCAUACUUGGGACAAAUACUCACUUUUACAAAAAAACAAACGUUCAGAACAGUCAGUUCUUGGUAGAAGAAUACAUUUCUUUAUAAGUAGAAAAUAUAGGAUUUUCUAGGAGAUACAAACAUUUACAUAAAACACUUACAAAAAUUUACAUCAAACAUUUACAAACACUUUCAUCAAAUUAUGCAAACAUUGACACUAAAAUACUUAUGAACUCACCAGCUUAAAUGUUGAUCUACUCUUUCAAAAUAACUUGUAUUCUCAGGUCACCGGUAGACAGGUACUCUCGACCAGUUUUUGAGAAGACGGAGCACAUUCGAGGUUCAUCUUUAAUUUUGAUUCAUAUUUUGGUGUCUUUCAAACUGUACACAGAGCACACUUGUAAUAAAGUAUAUUAUUAAUGCAAUGGAUGAUGUUGUUGCUGGUUUACUAUUGUGCAUUGUUAUGAUACUGUACAUGACAUCCUCUGCCCCCGAACGUUUCCGCCAUUCUGGUUUGGGGGUAUGACAGAUUGGUAUCAGAGAUUUGUUUAUAGUGAAUUCAAUAUAUCAACCCGUAAAGGAUAUACAACUAUAAACACAUCAAGAUUAAAAAUACUCUAACCAAGAGUUUAUACUUGUAAAUAAUAAAAUAUUUAACCAAAGUAUACAUACCUGCAUUCAUACUAAAAUCAGUGUCAUACUAGGACAGAACAAAAGUAUUGCGGUUGUUGGACAACAUAAGUAGGCUUGGGGACAUAUAAUCAGAUCUACGAGUGAUAUAGCCUGAUCAACUAUAUCUUUUGGAGAAGUGACUAGCAUGUGCCUAGGAAUGGUUGUGGUGUUGUAGCAAGUCUAAUAACUUACCAACACUACUACAAUGAAAACUUUAGAACAUAACAUAAACUCAAAAUAAUAUAGGAGUAUUUUGUGUUACUAUAAUUACUUAUUUGAGAACUAAAAGGUCAUUAUUAGUAGGUCAAUAGUUGCUGAGUGGAUACGCUAAGGUUAUAUGUGAAUAGGGUGUCAUAGACUUAGAAUCUGUGAUCUUUGCUUUACUUUCUGUUCCUUUUUUAGUUGUGGACUUAGAGUUAGGGUCACUUAUUUGAAGGUCUAUCUUGUUUUGGUCAUAUAUGACUGGUAUGCACUAUGCAAGUAUUGAAGUAACCAGUAAGGAUCAUCCUAUAAUUAUCUUAAGUAGUACGUCUAUUAACUACCUCUUUUGUCGCUAUUCUCACGUAGAUAACAUGGUUGGAUUCAGUCUCCCCGGCGAUCCGUACUUUCCCAACCAAGGACAUGAUGGAUGGCUCGAUGCAGAGCCAGAAGAGAAUCAUGCAAUUCCAUUAGAUGAUGAUUUCGCAGAAAACUUCUCGGAGGAUUCUGACUCCGAGCCAGAAGUCAAUAAUCUACCCUUAGUGCCUCCAAUCCCAAAUCCUAACCCUCUUCCGGCUUUUCAAGGCCCGACGCCUCUGUGAGCUGAGAACUUGGGUAGGUGGAACCGUGAGCAGGGUCAACCCUUACCAUACAACGGAGACCUAACCUUCUAUAACAUAAGCGAGGGAGGAUCUGCAGACAGAUUUCUUCCCAUCUUGGUUCGCCGUGUGGCUCGCAAUGUUGAGCUUGGAACGACAGCCAUUCAACAAACCGUGGAGCUGGAUGUGGAUACGAUCGCCAAUACGGAUCGUAUUGACAAUAUGGAAGUUGCUUACAGGAGAGCUAUGAGAGACAAUGAGGCUUUGCAGCAAGAGCUAGCUGCAACCUGAGCUGAAGUCAUAGAACUUCGAGCACACCAAACAGUGUAUGAACGACACCUCCUUGAUGUGGAGCGUAAGCUGGAUGGUUUGAGGGUUCGCCCAAGGGGUGACCGUCGCCUCUAGGGGAUGCUCUACUCGUCCUUUCUUUUGGUUUAAGGAAUUGCCUUCUUAUCUAUGCUCUAAGUAGCACUUUUCCCUGUAAAUAUUCAUGUACUCCAAGUACUGUUGCAAGGUCUCUAUGCUGUCAAAAUUUUCUUACUAUGGUUUGACGUAAGACCUAUUCCUAGGUAAUUUUCCCGAAAUUUUUACAUCAUUAAUGCCAAUAUUAUUUAUAGACAUCUAAUCUUUUGGGAAAUCUUUAUCCAAGUGAUUUCAUGCUCCUACUAUUAGAUCUCUAUUUCAAACAUACUUUCAUGUGUUUGUUACGCUAUGGCAAGUUAGCCCAUGGACCACUCUCAUUAUACUCACAAUUGAUUCUUACUAUCAUCUUCAUCUUUGUACACUUUUCGUUAAAUGAUGCCUCCAUGCCGAUCAAUGAGAAGUAAUCAUCUGAUAACUCCAACUCAACCACCACCACCUCCUCCACAAUACAAUCCAUCAUCUAUCCAAGCUACAAUGGCUACGGCUGUUUCGUUAGCCUUAGCUCAAUUUAGUGCUACUGGUACUCACGGAAGUGGAACAACCGUGCAUUCCUCUCAAGGUGAUGCUCCAGUGCGCUCUAGAUAGUGCUCGUAUAAGGACUUCACUAACUGCAAGCCCAGGUCCUUUAACGGGACUGGUGGAAUAAUUGCCCUCUCGCAACGGUUGGAGAAAAUAGAGUCGAUAUUUGAGAUCUUCUCCUUUCCGGAAGCGAGCAAAGUUCAAUUUGCUUCCUGCACCUUCGCGGACAGAGCGCUGACUUGGUGGAAUAGCCAUGUCAAGUCACUAACCCUGACAGUGGCUAAUCGUAUGGGUUGGGAGGCUCUGAAGGAGAUCAUGAUUACAGAGUACUGCCCGAGGGGCGAGGUUCAGAAACUUGAACAAGAACUUUGGAGCCUAACCAUGAAGGGCUCCGACCUAGUCGCCUACACUGCCAGUUUCAACGAUAUGGUGGCACUGUGUCCGGGAAUGGUGUGACGACAUAAAUUUUCGAAACAAUUUUUCAUUUUUAAAACAUAAUUUCACUCAAGACAAAACUAUAAAACCCAAUGUAACAUGGUCAUUACACAAAACAUAUCAAAUCCCAAGACCAAACAUAUCCAAAUCCGCCAGUGUGUGUACGAGUCACGCUAGCGCCUUCCCACUGUCCUCACUAGUACCUGAAACACAUUACACAUAAACACUGUAAGCAAGAAGCUUAGUGAGUUCCCCAAUAUACCACUUACACAUAUACGCCUUUCCAGGCCAUACUACACACGACCUUCCGGUCCAUAUGUCUCAGGGGACUUCCGUCCCAACCCAGUAAACCAUCCGGUCCUACCCGUGUUGACCUUCCGGUCCAUAACUCCCUGACCUUCCGGUCCACAUCAUAAUGCCUUCUGGCCCAUAUGAUAAUGCCUUCCGGCCGAUAUCAAACAUAGCAUACAUAUCACAUACAUAAAGCAUACAAUACAUGCAACUCAUAGCAUACAAUGCAUAUAUCUCAUAGCAUACCAGACCUUCCGGUCCACAUAGGUACCCUUUCAGGUACAGUAUAGUGAGAAGACUCACCUCGUAUGAUGUCUAGUAACUCACGUGCUCGAUAUCUUUGAAUCUCGAAACAACGAACUAGCCUCGCCUAAUCACAACAAGUAAUCAUUUCAAAUCAUUAACGACUCUCAAGGCUAUACUACAUCCCUUUCUACAAUCCCACAGAAGGGUAAAAGACCAUUUUACCCCUCCCUGACUCAAAAGUCCACAUGUUGACCAAAACCCUAAAAGUCAACAAAAGUCAACAGUAAGCAGUACGCGGGGCGUACCAACUCCUGUAUGCGGGGCAUACUCUUGCACUCCAGAAUCGGGGAACGCGACCCCCUACGCGGCGUGUACUGGGAUUACGCCCAGCGUAAAUCCUAGUUUCCUACUUUCUUCAUUUUAGGUCUUAAACAGUUAAGACAUAAUCUCACAUUCAAGAUCUUGCCAUUCUAAUACCUCUUAAUCCAUAAAGUCGAAACCCUUAAGCCUUUGUAUGGCUGUAAAGGCCCUCACACCCUCUAACGCCUUUCCUUUCUCCUCCAAAAGUCUAGAUCUCAUGUAUGGCUCAACAUUUACGUCCAAGAUUGCAUUUUUAUGAGCAUACAACUCAUAUAGACCUGAAAUAUGAUAGAUCUAGACCAAUGGAGACUACUUGCUCAUAAAUUCUCCAUCUUAGGACCAAAAACCCUAGAAUUCGGUCCAAGAAGAAGCUCCAACCUCUGUAGAUCUCAGAUCUACUCUUGUCCACCAACUUGUAGCUCAUACAAUGGCCUCCUCUUCUCUUUCACCACCUUGAAAUGGAACUUUGAAGCUUAGAACACUCACACGCAAGCUAGGGACGAAGGGAAUACUCUCUUAGGGUUUCUUUCUGUGAGAUGGUGGCUGAGGGACAGGGCCAUCUCAUUGUUUUUAUAGCCCUCAAGUCAUAUUAGGGUUUUGCAUCUGGGCCGGUUACACCCGGGAUAACCUUGGGUACGCCCAGCGUACUAGGAUGAAUCCGCGUACAAAUUAAGCGCGCGAGUACGCGCAGCGUACUCCUCAGUACGCCCAGCGUACUCACAAGCCUAGCAUUUUGACAUAAAGGGACCUAACUUGACAACUUGGAAAAGAAGAAGGGUUAAAUGGUUGUACCUAAAUUUCGGGAUGUUACAAUUCUCCCCACUAGAACCAGACUUCGCCCUCGAAGUCUUAUGCGGAAAACAACUCCGGAUGCUGCUCCCGCAUCUCUGACUCUGUCUCCUACGUCAGCUCGGACCCCUUCCGAUGAUGCCACUAAACUUGCACCAACGGCACCUCCUUGUUCCUUAGAACCUUGAUCUUCCGAUCCCGAAUCACAAUUGGUCUCUAAGCAUAAUUCAGGCCCGCAUCCACCUGGAUAUCCUCCAGCGGAACUACCGCCGACUCGUCGACUAUACAUUUCCUCAACUGAGACACGUGAAAGGUAUGAUGAAUCUGGCUCAACUUCACAUGUAGCUCCAAUCGAUAUGCUACUCUGCCUACCCUCGCAAACACUUUAAACGGCCCAAUGUACCGGGGCCCUAGCUUGCCCCUCUUCCUGAAUCGAACCACUCUUUUCCAGGGAGACACCUUCAGGAGUACAAAAUCCCCAACCUAAAACUCGAGCUCAGAUUGUCGCCUAUAUGCAUAACUUUUCGGGCGACUCUGAGCGGUCAACAACCUCUGUCUGACCUGCUGUAUCUGCUCUAUCUUCUGAAGAACUAUUUCCGUACUACCCAUCACACGUUGCCCUACCUCACCCCAGCAAAUGGGAGUCUGCUACCUCCUCCCAUACAACAGCUCAAAGGGUGGCAUACCAACGCUCAAGUGAUGGUUGUUGCUAUAAGUAAACUCAGCCAAUGGAAAAUACGUGUCCCAACUCCCUCCGAAGUCUAAUACACAUGCCCGAAGCAUGUCCUCGAGCGUCUGAAUCUGCCACUCACUAUGUCCGUCCGUCUGUGGGUGGUAUGUGGUACUAAAAUGCAGCCUCGUACCCAACUCCUCGUGAAACUUCUUCCAGAAUCUGGAAGUAAAAUGCACAUCUCGGUCUGCAACAAUCGAGGUCGGUACUCCAUGCCGCGAUACCACCUCCCUCACGUACAACUCUGCCAGCCUCUCAGCAGAAGAACUCUCACUGAUAGCAAGAAAAUGAGCGCUCUUCGUCAACCUGUCCAUAAUCACCCAAAUCGCAUCGACACCUCUUGCAGUCCUUGGCAAUUUGGUGAUACAAUCCAUGGUAAUCUGUUCCCACUUCCACUCGGGAAUCUCCAAUUGCUUCAACUUACCAUGUUGACGCUGGUUCUCGGCCUUAACCUUACGACAGGUCAAGCACCUUUCCACAAACCAUGCAACAUCUCUCUUCAUACAUGGCCACCAAUAUUCCCUUUUCAGGUUCGAAAACAUCUUAGUGGCCCUGGUAUGGAUCGAGAACCUCGAUCUAUGUGCCUCCUCCAUCAAGAUGGUACGCAUUCCGCCUACAGACGGUACCCAAAUCCGACCCUAAAAGGUCAUAAGUCCUCGACUAUCGGUAACGAACUCCGAUAACUGCCCGAUCACCCGCUCCCUUUUGCGGUUCUCCGGUCUCACGGCCUCCGCCUGGGCCCCUCGAAUGAUGUCCAAUACCAAAGUCGUCACUGUCAAUCUCAUGAAAACGUCUUGUAUCGGGGCGCUCUCCGCCCUACGGAUGAGGGCAUCGGCUACAACAUUAGCCUUGCACGGGUGGUACAACAUCUCACAAUCAUAAUCGUUUACCACAUCCAACCAUCUCCUAUGGCGCAUAUUCAGGUUGGGCUGAUCCAUCAAGUACUUCAAACUCUUAUGGUCCGUGUAUAUGGUACACCAAACCCCAUACAGAUAUCGACGCCAGAUCUUGAGGGCGAACACCACAGCCCCCAGCUCUAGGUCAUGGGUGGAUACCUCGACUCAUGAGGCUUCAGCUGCCUCGAUGCAUAUGCUAUCACAUGCCCCCUCUGCAUAGGCACUGCUCCCAACCCGGAUAUCGAUGCAUCACAGUACACCACAAAAUCCUCCAUCCCUUCUGGGAGUGCAAGCAUCGGGUCUUCGUACAAUUUCUGGUGAAGUGUCUCAAAUGAGGUCUGCUGCUCUCGACCCUAGAAAAAAGCGACACCCUUCCGGGUCAACUUGGUGAGUUGCACGGCGAUCUUGGAGAAAUCCCUGAAAAAUCUCCAAUAAUAGCCGACCAAUCCUAGAAAUCUCUUGAUCUCAGUGGGCGAUCUCGGCACCUCCCACCUCAUGACCGCGUCAAUCUUGGCCAGAUCGACCAAUAUCCCAUUCUGGUUGACGAGAUGUCCCAAGAACUGGACCUCUCGUAACCAGAACUCACACUUGGAGAAUUUGGCAUAAAGCCUCUCCGAUCUCAGAACUCCAAGGAUCUCCCUCAAAUGCUCCUCAUGUUGUUCACUAGAUCUCGAAUACAUCAAAAUAUCAUCAAUGAAUACGAUCACCGACUGAUCUAGCAUCGGUCUGCACACCCUGUUCAUGAGAUCCAUGAAUGCUGAUGGUGCAUUGGUGAGCCCAAAAGGCAUCACCACGAACUCGUAAUGCCCAUAACGAGUUCUGAACGCUGUCUUCUGGAUAUCCUCAUCACUCACUCUCAUCUGGUGAUAUCUAGACCUCAGAUCAAUCUUGGAAAACCAAGACGCUCCCUACAACUGGUCGAACAAAUCGUCGAUCCUUAGGAAAAACAUCCGGCAACUCACGCACUAUCGGAACAUCAUCCACUGAACUUCGCCUCCCAACGGCCUCUCAUGUGUCCAUCACAUAGGCUACAAACCCGCUGCAGCCCUGUUGUAAACUUUGUCUCGCUCUGGCAACCGAACAGAACACUGACCCACAUUGGGUACCCUCGCCGUACACCGUAAUUACUCCCCCACUGGGAUCUUAUAUCGUCACCAACUGCCGCUCGUAGUCUAUCACAGCCCCAAAUCGGCUUAACCAAUCCAUGCCCACUAUGACACACACGUCCCCCAUCGCUAUCGGGACCAGAUCUAUCGGGAACUACACGCCUAAGAUCUCGAGUAUACAUCCUCGUACCACCUCCGUAGCAUAUACUGCUCGCUCAUCAGGUAUGGAAACUCACAGAGGUCGACUCAUCGCCUCUCGUCUACUAUUAAUGUGCCGACUAAACGCUCUCGAUACAAACAACCGACUCGUACCCAAGUCAAAUAACACUAAAGCAGGUACAGAGCUCACAAUAAAAGUACCUAUGCAUAUCAUCAUAUAACCAUAAUAUCUAAACAUAACAUAAGUAAUUAAAGAAUACAUACCAGGCACUACAUCGAGCGCUGCGCGGACCUCCUCUGCUGUCAACUGAAAAAAGCUCUCCCGCGAGCCUUUGGUGCCUCGGCCUUUACUGGCCAACCCUCGGUAACCCUAGCAGCAGGCGCAGAUCCCUAUGAUGACUCCUGCUGCAACUGUGGACACUCGGCAUUCCGAUGGCCAGUCUGGUUGCAAUGAAAGCAAGCCAUAAGUCCUUUGGGGCAAUCCUUGGCGAUAUGCCCCUCCUUGCCACAUUUGUAGCAAGCACCCAAUCGACAGGCCCCCUCAUGUCCCAUGUCGCCCUUCCCAAAAGUGCUGCCCUUCUGGCCCCCAGUCCUCGAAUCAGCGGACUUGGUCCGUUUGGCUACCGGCUGAGACUGAGUCGGCCGCCGAUCCAUCCUCUGAGACUCGACCUCCUCCCUGGCCUGCGUCUCCAACUCAAUCUCCCUCUUCAGGGCAUUUUCCUGGAGCUCAGCAAAUUUCCGGUAAUUCGAGUUCGACACGAACUCCCGAGUAUACCUUCUAAGAAUGCCCAAAUAUCGGCUCAUCCAUGCCUGCUCAGUAGACACCUUCUCAGGGCAGAACAUCGCCCUCUCAUGAAACUUCCUGGUAACCACAGUAACCGAAUCAUUACCCUGCUUGAGGGUCAAGAGCUCCUGAACCAACCGUUCCCUCUCCACCGGGGGAACAUACUCGUCUCUGAACAUGGUGGUGAACCUCUCCCAGGUUACCGCUAAAAUCUCUGCAAGAGUGAAGCUCGCCGUCACGAACUUGCACCAAUCCUUCACUCCCAAGCGAAGCUGGUUCAAUGCGAACCGUGCCCUCAGAUGCUCCGGAUAUGAACAAGUAUAGAAGCACCCCUUGAUAUCAGCAAUCCAUCUCAUCGUAGCAAUCGGAUCAUGCGUCCCAUCAAACUCUGGUGGCUUCAUGUUGCUGAACUCCCAAAACAACAACGAGUCACCUCCCUGAGGUCUGGCGGCAGCCACAACUGCAGUGGCUACAACAAUAGCAGCCUCAGUCACUGCGGCGUAUCGCUCAUCGAAAGUCUCAAUCAGUUUGGUCUUGAUAGACCCAAACAUCUCCAGAAUCUCGGCCCUGAUCGCCACUGCCACCUCAUCGUGGAUCACCUGACAAAGCUCAUCGUCACUCACACCGCUCGCCUCGGGUCUGUGGCGUGUCCCAACCAUUAUGCCUCUGAAAUAUAAUAUCAAAGACUCGUUCGAGCAUGCUCGCACUCGAUAACUCGAACCUACUUGCUCCUUAGUACCCAAAGGAUUCUUACUUAGAGUGCACACUGCUCCGGUGUCUUCAGUAGUACGAGCCCAAUACUACCGUCCACACUGCAUCAGUAUUCACCCUAAGUCCUCUUCCUUGGGUCCUAGUUCACAAGUACUCUAAAACUCACUAGCAUAUGUUGAUGGGUUUUAGGUAAAACAAAUAAACUAGAAAACAAUUCCUAAGUCCACAUGCAACCUACUUUGGAUCUAUGUUUUAACUAUUGAACAUACAACUUUGAAUUGCAAAACAAGAACCCUAGAGGAGAGAGGCUAUUUUCGAAAUCUAUAAACUAGGGUUUAAUAAUUACAUACCUUUCAAUUGUUAUAGUAAACAAUUGACAAUUCCCUUGAUCUUGAUCUUGAUCUUCUUGGAAGCUUAGCACCACUAGUGUAAUGCCUCUAAUGGAGUCACACCCAAACUAGCAAGAAGAAAAGUAGAAGAGAGAGGUGGAGUGGGAGAAUGCAAAAUUUCGGCCCUUAGGGUUUCUUCAAAAGAAAGAGUGACCAAAACAUGAACCAGGAGGCUCCUUAUAUAGCUGAGGGAUCUAGGGUUUAGGGGAAACCCUAGUUAUCGUUUGCUUAGGGCCUAAGCAAACCCAAGGGCCUUAUCCAAGCCCCUACGGACGAAAUUAUUAGGGUUUCCCCUACAGAUUUCGUCCACCCUCAUCCAGGGGGGUUCUAGAGCCUUCCACUCAACUAUUAGAUAAUUACAAACUAGUCCCUACACUUUAUAAUUAAUUCUUUUAACCCCAAAAUUAAUUCUAAUUAAUUUAUGGCUAACAAUUAAUUAAACAAAAUGAUUUCUUAUUAAUAUAUUAAUCUUUUAACAUAUUAAUAAAUUCAUUUAUAUUAAUUUAUUAAUCUUAUAAUAAAUUAAUAUCUCUCCUUUCAUAAUUUCCUUGUCCGGUUGCUAGGUUUGAGGGCAACCCAAAAGGACUGUGCUGCUAUCAAUUCAAGUACAUACCAAUUAUAGUUAUGGGCUUAGACACCUAAUCCAACAGUCUCCCACUUGGAUAAGUCUGUAACUAUAAUUGCUAGUAUGCCUUCUAAAUUUGACCAGCAAAUUGUAGCUUCCAAAAAGCUGUUGUCGAACUCUGACCCAGUCAGUUACGUGUCCUAAGAUAAGUGAUCAUAUAAUCCUUCGUUCUGCUAGAUAUCCCUAGACAAAAGACAUGGAAUGCAAUCAACCUCUUUGUCCAGAAUCUAUGUUUCCCGAUUCCUGAUUUGUGAUGAUGUAGGACUUCUAAUUGAACACAUCAAUUUAGUCCUGGCUGGGCCCAGCACACAAGUCAACACCAAAUCAUCGAGGGGCCCACAGAUAUCGCUUUUCCCGUUAGGGCAAAAGGAACGAAUAAACAUUGACUCAUAUGCUUGUAUCUUUUACUCAUCAAACCAUACAUGAUAAUACGUUUUAUAACACCAAGUUACUGAUGCGUUUUCGUAUCACCAAUGCAUAGCCGACUUGCAAAUCACAACUCAUAUAUCUCUGUUUCAAGAUUAUAAGAUAUUAUCGUCUCAGUAUUACUCGUGAUGAAUUCCAUGAAGUAAUACUCUGAGCGAGGGUUUAUCCAAUACUCAAAUCUCAAUUUCUGAGUACUCAUGAACGUUGCAGCAAAUACAUUGCCAUGUCUAUCCUUAGACAAUCUACAAUCCAGUUCAUGACAGUCUUGAUUCACUACUUACUUCCAAGAGUAUGAGCGACUGUGGAGUUAUAAUAAUCUUAUUAUUAGGGAAGUAAAACAUGCAAAAAUGAAACACAAUAAUAAACAAUUUACAAAAGGUAGAACUCAAACUUAUAAAUAAUACUUUAUUAUUUAAUCACCAAAAGUCAAUUAUAUUUACUUUGUUACAAGUUUCAGAACAAAACUAAUCUAACUACUAAAACUAAUAUCAUCUUUCAGUCCUAUGCUCCGAGCAUGCUGAAUAUGCUUAGCCCUACUCAGACCCUUUGUGAGGGGAUCUGCUGGGUUAUCUUCAGAUGACACCCUCUUCACUAUAAGAUGGCCUUCUUCUACUCUAUGUCUGAUGAAAUGGUACUUUCUGUCGAUAUGUCUGGUUUUACCAUGAUCUCUCGGUUCCUUUGUCAAGGCAACCGCUCCUUCAUUAUCGCAGAACAGUUCCAUAGGCUCCUGGAUGGUUGGAACAACUCCGAGAUCCCCGAUGAAGUUCCUCAACCAAGCUGCUUCUUUCGACGCUUCACUUGCUGCUAUGUACUCUGAUUCACAAGUAGAAUCAGCCACCGUAUCUUGCUUGGAACUCUUCCAAGUAACUGCUCCUCCAUUUAAUAAGAAUACCCAGCCUGACUGAGAACGGAAGUUAUCUCUAUCCGUCUGAAAGCUGGCAUCACUGUAACCAUCUACUCUCAAAGUAUCAUUNCUUCGCGGCUAUCCAAUGAGCUCUACAUGGGUUUCCCUGAUAGCGACUGACCAUGCUCAAAGCAAAUGCCACAUCAGGGCAAGUACAUGUCAUAGCGUACAUGAUCAAUCCGAAAGUGGAAGCAUAAGGUACACGACUCAUGUCAUCUAUUUCCUCAUAUGUACUCGGGCAUUGAGUCUUACACAAUUUAGUAUUGCUCUGGAUAGGUAGGUCUCCCUUCUUGGAAUUUUCCAUACUAAACCUCUUUAGUACCUUGUCCAAGUAUGUGCUCUAACUAAGUCCAAUUAGUCUCUUCUUUCUUUCUCUCAAUAUUCUAAUCCCAAGAAUAUAGGCAGCUUCUCCAAGGUCUUUCAUGGCACAACACUUUCCAUGCCAAGACUUAACAUCUUUCAAGGUUGGAAUGUCGUUACCAAUGAGUAAUAUGUCAUCAACAUACAAAACNACACCAGAAAAGUUACUAUACUCCCACUAGCCUUGAUAUACACACAAAACUCAUCAUCACUUCUAGAGAAACCAAACUCUUUGACUUUCUCAUGGUAGCAAAGAUUCCAGGUGCGAGAUGCUUGUUUCAAUCCAUAGAUGGAUUUCUCAAGCUUGCACACUCUAUUGGGAAACUUUGCAUCAGAAAAACCCUCUGGCUGACUCAUGUAAACAUCUUCAGCCAACUUCCCGUUAAGGAAGGCAGUCUUGACAUCCAUCUACCAUAUUUUAUAGUCAUGAAAGGCAGCUAUGGCGAGCAAUAUCCUAAUAGAUUUAAUCUUAGCUACUGGCGAAAAGGUCUCAUCAUAGUCAACCCCUGGGGUUUGAGUGAAACCUUUUGCAACCAGUCGAGCCUUGAAUGUAUGCACAUUCCUGUCCAUGUCUGUCUUCUUCUUAAAGAUCCAUUUGCACCCAACUGUCUUACGACCUGGUGCACUAUCAACCAAAUUCCAAACUUGGUUGUCAUGCAUGGACGUAAUCUCGCUGUCCAUUGCCUCUUUCCACUUGGAAGCCUCUAGGCCUGCCAUUGCUUCCUUAUAAGUGACUAGUUCAUCUAAGUUUAGCAAUGUCCUGUCACUUAUGAAUGUGUCACCAUCUGAAGUAAUAUGAAAACCAUACAACUCAGGUGGCACACUCACCCUAGUGGAUCUUCGAAGAGGUAAUGAUUUAUCAACUGGUUUAACAGGAAUUGUUUCCUCUGGUUGAGUGCUAGUGUCAUCUAAGGUUCCUUCCUUGGUUGACUCUUGAAUCUCUUCAAGGUCAAUAGUACUCCCACUUUCCCCUUUGAAUAUGAGCUCUCUUUCUAGAAAGACUCCUCUUCGAGCUACAAAGACCAUGUUUUCACUAGGCCUGUAGAACAAAUAUCCAAAAGACUUUUUUGGGUAACCAAUGAAAACACAUUUCUGACUUCUAGCUACUAUCUUGUCAUGAGUCUCUCAUCUUACGAAAGCUUCACAAGCCCAGACUUUAAUAUGUGCUAACAAGGGAACUUUCCCUGUCCACAUUUCGUGAGGUGUUUUGGCAACCUUCUUUGUAGGGACAAGAUUGAGGAUGUGGGCGGCUAUCUCUAAGGCAUACCCCAAGAAGUGAAUAGGAAGAAAGGCAUGACUCAUCAUAGAAUGAACCAUGUCUAACAAGGUUUGAUUACGCCUCUUAGCUACACCAUUUAACUGUGGUCUCCUAGGAGGAGUCAAUUCUGAUACUAUCCCACAUUCUUUCAGAUAGUCGUUGAACUCGAUGCAAAGAUACUCCCCACCUCUAUCGGAUCUAAGUAUCUUGAUCUUUCUGCCCAAUUGAUUUUCGACUUCAUGCUUAAACUCUUUGAACUUUUCAAAGGUUUCUGACAUAUGUUUCAUCAAGUAGAUGUAACCAUAUCUGCUAUAAUCGUCAGUGAAAGUCACAUAAAAUCGAUUAGCAUCCCUUGUGGUUGAUCUGAAGGGCCCACACACAUCUGUGUGUAUGAGAUCCAAUAGACCUUCACGUCUUUCACAAGACCCUGUGAAUGGUGAUUUUGUCAUCUUUCCCAAAAGACAAGAUUCACACAUAUCAUCUGAUUUUAGGUCAAAUGAUUCCAAUACUCUAUCCUUUCGGAGUUGGGCUAUGCGUUUCUUGUUAAUGUGUCCAAGACAACAAUGCCACAAGCAUGCCUUGUCUACACUAUUAGACAAGUCAAUAUUAAGUACAUUAUUUCCUAAGCUAUCAACACAAGUCACUGUUUCAUACACACCAUCACAAGGUAAAGCUUCAAACACAAAAACACCAUUCUUAUAAACAGAAAUUGAACCAUUCAAAUCAUUAAAAGAAUAUUUAAAACCUUGUCUGAACAAUGCAUGAAAUGAAAUAAUGUUUCUCGUCAUCUCAGACGAAUAGCAACAAUUUAUUAAGUCUAAUCUAACAUCAUUACUAAACAAUAGUUGAUAAACUCCAAUCUUGGUCACUCGUGAAGACUUUCUGUUCCCCAUGAUCAAGUUUAUCCUCCCAUGCUCUAUCUCCUCACUUUGCUUUAGCCCCUGCAAAUCAGAAUAGAUAUGAAAACCACAUCCGGUAUCAAGGACCCAUGAACGAGAAGAUAAUGAGUUAUUAGCAGAAAUAGUGUAAAUACCUGCCGAGGAUGGCUUCACUUUGCCAUCCUUGAUAUCUUGCAGAUAUUGUGGGCAAGAUCUCUUCCAAUGCCCCUUUUGAUUGCAGUAAAAGCAAAUGGCCUCUUUUGGAUCAGAAACAUGGGGAGUGGAACCAUUGGGCUUAGCCUUCGGGCCAUUACUAGAUGACACAGCUUGAGCCUUGCUCUUCCAGUUUUGCUUGGGAGGACCUUUCCUCUUCUUCCCCUUUCCCUGUCCAAUGGCCAAGACAGGGGCACUUGCAGGUGUGGAGGGUAUACUUUUACCCUUCAUCCCUGCCUCAGCUGUCUGCAACAAGUUGUGCAAUUGGGCCAAAGUCUGCUCAGUGUUGUUCAAAUGGUAAGUUAAGAUAAACUGACCAUAACAAUCAGGCAACGAGUUCAAGACCAUGUCAAUGGCCAAUUCCUCAUCGAAGUGAAUGUUGAGCUUGACCAAACGCUCUAUGUAGCGUUGCAUUCUUUGCACAUGAGAUACAACCGAUUCCCCCUCUUUCAUCUUGCAAGCCAUGAGUGACUUGACUACCUCAAACUUUUCUUGACGAGCUCGCUUAUGGUACUUUUCCAUAAGGUCAUUAUUCAUCUCAAAAGGCCAGUAGUCAUCAUAGUACCUCUGCAAUUCUGGGGAGAUGGUUGCAACCAUGAUGCAUGCCACUUUGGUAGCAUCAUCAUAGUGUUUCUUGUAGGCAGCAUACUCUUCGGGAGUGGCUUUGGACUCAUCAAGUUCUUUGAGCUACUUUUCCAGGACAUACUCUUUGUCCUUGAAUCUAAGCGCCAUCUUGAUGUUACUCAUCCAAUCGUUAUAGUUGGAGCCAUCCAUAACGACUUUGGAGCAGAUGUUUAGUAGAGAGAAGUUGUGGCUGGAGGAUGAUGAAGCAGAAGUGUUUCCAGGAGUAGACAUCUGAAAAGAAAGAUAGUUUUAGUUAGAUUCCAAGACACCUCAAUAUAAUAACCCAAAGAUAUCAUAUCAAGGUUAGGACCCAACUAUGACGAUUUACAACUUAGAAAUGGGAUGCCGAGAUCCAAGUUCAAAUCUCAUAAAGGUAGGUGAAUGACGAUUCACCAAUUCCACCAUUAGACAAAAUAAACGAAGUGAAAUUCCUAAUUCUUUUGAGAUACAUUAAAACUAUUUAAUGGCAUUUUUUAAUCUCGAAUUAUUGUCUACUAUUUGUGACUGGGAUACCGAGGAUCACAAACUAGAUGUAAAUAACAAUGUAAAUGUGCUUGGUAACCUUAUUGUCUUUAUCAUUGACUAUUGAUGUGCCGGUAAACCACACACACUCCAUCAAAAUGAUAAUUAUAAGAUACCCAUUACUACUCUUUAUUAGUGCCUUUUAGUGUGCCGGUUAACCACACACGCUCCACUAACGACCAAUAAAGCAUAAUGUGCAAUUUCAUGGAUUAGCAUACUUUUCACAUUUUUCCUAAAGUAACUAGAGUUGGGAUUUUGAAAAAUAGUGUUCUAGUACUUUCUU
rnacentral:lncRNA from 1 species